UCCCGGGUCUUGUACACACCGCCCGUCACACCACGAGAGUUUGUAACACCCGAAGCCGGUGGAGUAACCUUUUAGGAGCUAGCCGUCGAAGGUGGGACAAAUGAUUGGGGUGAAGUCGUAACAAGGUAGCCGUAUCGGAAGGUGCGGCUGGAUCACCUCCUUU
rnacentral:rRNA from 1 species